CGUCGGCGUCGGAGCCGGGAAUGGGGGAAGCGCGGGCUCGGCGACCAGACUGAGCGACGGCGCCGGGCGACAGGCGAGGCGAGGGGACGGAUGGCCGCCGGUGGCCGGGCCUGGCGAUGAGUGCGGGGCCGUGAGAGAACCUACUAUGAGCCGUGGCGGAUGGAGGAAACGUGCCGGCAAAGAGGAUGGCUGGAGGGAUUGGGGUGGUUACAUGGCAGCAAAGAUCGACAAACUGGAAAGGCAGUUCAAAUCAGAUUCUUCACUUCAACAAGAAAAUGAAGGGACAACAUCUUGCAUUUUCAAAGGUGUUACAAUUUAUGUCAAUGGUUACACAGAACCAACAGCUGAUGAGCUUCGAAGGCUUAUGAUGCUGCAUGGGGGCCAGUAUCACGUGUACUACUCAAGGUCUAAAACUACACACAUUAUUGCAACCAACCUGCCAAAUGCAAAAAUAAAAGAAUUGAAGGAUGAAAAAGUUGUUCGGCCUAAUUGGAUCACAGACAGUAUAAAAGCUGGGUGCCUCCUUUCUUACAUUCCUUAUCAACUGUACACUAAGCAGUCAAGUGUCCAAAAAGGAUUAAACUUCACUGUGAACAAACCUGAAGAACCUACACCAGGCCCGAGCAAUAUUUACAAACUUCAUAGAAAUGUAAAAAGUAUAAACAACAACCAAGAGAACGUGAAACAAAAGGGAAAAGGAAACCAGACCAACAGUGGAAUGAAUGGAUGGGACAAAAAUAAUGAUGAUUUUGAACUAAUGGAAUUGGAGCCUGCUUUUCCUCACCUAAAUCACAACGGAGUUCAUAGUUGUAGAGACCAUAUCGCUGUUAAUUACACCAAUGAGCCCAAUUCUAAUAGUGCCUUAAAAACACAAGAUUAUUUAAAACUUUUCAGUGAAACUUUGUGGGGAAAGGAACCUGGAACCCUUGAAGUAUUGGCAGAAGCUAAUGAUGACCGUGAAACAGAUUUCAAAAACUGUGAAGAGCAGUUGGCAGAAGGCAAUACCUUUCUGACUGACUGCACAAGGACUCCUUCCAGUUCUUCUUUAAAUGAAUGCUUCAAAAUAAAUGGGAUUAGGCAAUCUGCAAUUCGGGAGAUUUCAAGAAUGAAAAGCAAUGCAGAGCCUUCGCCUACUAAAGGAUCUUCCCACGGGUCAUCUAAACCUGCGGACCCAAGUUUUAUAUCUGAGUUUUAUGCCCAUUCAAGACUGCAUCACAUAGCAAUGUGGAAGUGUGAGUUUACAGAAUAUGUGAACAGACUUCAAAAACAAAAUAAUGGGGUUUACCCUGGCAGAGAGAAACUAAAGAGAAUUAAUAUGGAAAAGAUUCUGAGAAAUCCUAGUGGCUCCAAUCAUUUGGGCACUGCGGAUUUGCCCAGACAUAAGAGCUGCAUAAUGCACAUCGACAUGGACUGUUUCUUUGUAUCAGUGGGCAUUCGUGAUCACCCAGAACUGAAGGGAAAGCCUGUAGCUGUUACCCACAACAGAGGUCAUGGUCGAGUGUCCGUCCGACCAAGUGCUAACCCACAGUUUGAAAUGCAAUAUUACCAGAAGAAGAUGAUAAAUGACAAAAUGGAAGAGAAAAAAGUGUCCGAUAAAGUAGAUGGCAACGUCUGGGAGAAUGCAAAUCCUGCCUCUGUGAAUGGUAUUAACAUGGAUCUGAUGGCCUUAUCAAUGGCAGAAAUUGCAUCUUGUAGUUAUGAAGCUAGACAGACUGGUAUUAAGAAUGGCAUGUUUUACGGACAAGCAAAACAGUUAUGCCCUGAUCUUCAGGCUGUUAGCUACAACUUCAAAGCUUACAAAGAAGUGGCGUCAAUUAUGUAUGAAACCUUAGCGAGCUACACUUAUGAUAUUGAAGCUGUCAGCUGUGAUGAAGCUCUUGUGGACAUAUCAACAAUCUGUGCAGAAACUGGUUUGACACCUGAUGCGAUAGCAACUGUUAUUCGAUCAGAGAUUAAGGAAAAAACACAAUGUACUGCAUCAGCUGGAAUGGGAUCGAACAUUCUGCUGGCCAGAAUGGCCACUCGUAAGGCCAAACCAAAUGGGCAGUAUUAUUUAAAAUCGGAGGAGGUCGAUGACUUUAUCAGAGAUCAACUUGUAAGCAGUUUACCAGGAGUUGGAAGAGCAUUAGAAUACAAAAUGGCAUCAUUUGGUGUUAAAACAUGUGGCGAACUGCAGCAGAUUUUGAUGGCAAGACUUCAAAAGGAAUUUGGGCCCAAAACAGGCCAAAUGCUUUACAGAUUCUGCCGAGGCCUUGAUGAUAGGCCAGUCCGAACAGAGAAAGAGCGAAAAUCUGUAUCUGCAGAAAUCAACUAUGGAAUUCGGUUUAGUCAGACUAAAGAGGCAGAAGUAUUUCUUUUCAAUCUUGCGGGAGAAAUUCAGCGGCGACUGGAGCUGUCCAGAAUGCAAGGGAAACGUUUAACUCUUAAAGUAAUGGUGAGAAAACCUGGUGCACCUACAGAACCGGCUAAGUUUGGUGGGCAUGGAAUCUGUGACAAUAUUACUAGAAGUGUGACCUUAGACCAUGCAACGGGAAAUGCAAAAAUAAUUAGCAGAGAAGUACUGAACAUGUUCCACAUGAUGAAGCUGAAUGUGACAGAUAUGAGAGGGGUUGGAAUUCAAAUGCAUCAGUUAAUCCCAGAUACCAAAGCUUCACUUAAUUCAUUCUCUUCAUUUGUACGGAAUAAUGUUGCUGGUGCGUCAUCAUGCCCAAAGGUGGAUCUGUUUCAGGCAUCCAGAUCAAGGAAAACUGUGGAACCCAGACUUUCAGAAGACCCUGUUCCUGCAAGAAAAAAGGCACAAACAACUGGAAACUCUCCCCUGCUUUCAUCUAACACACAUCUCAGAAGUUCAGAAACCUCAUUAAAAACUGGUGGAAUGCUUACCUCAGAGAACACACCUGUCUGUAAGGAAAGAGCUGGCAUUAAUAUUGAAGUGCCAUCCCCAUCUCAGAUAGAUCCUACCGUUUUGGCUGCGCUCCCUCCAGAUAUAAGAGCGCAGGUGGAGCAGACAUUCUCAGCUCGACAACAACCCAGUCUUACUGAUAUCCGUGUCAAAGAAUCAGUGAGAGGCAUUGUUACUGGAAACGAACCUGGGUCAAUGGGGACACUGAUUCUCGAGUUGCCAGAAGCUCAGGCACCAAGCAGUGCUGCUGGAAUGAUCGUAGCUCUCCCAGCCUUUUCACAGGUUGAUCCUGAGGUUUUUGCUGCUCUUCCCCCUGAUGUACAAGAAGAACUAAAAACUGCUUAUGAUCAAAGACAUCGACAAGGCAUGAAAAAUCAAUUGCUACAAUUAAAGAAUACUCUUCCUGAAAAAUCAAAGAAACGUUUUAAAAAGAAGAAUCACACUAGUCCUAUUAAAACUCUAAGUCCUCUUAAAAAUAAGUUAAUCAGUCCACAUAACGUACUGCCUGACUUGAUCCGACAUGAACGCCAAGUCAAAGAAAAUUUUCAGGGUGAUCCCGUUGCUUCCACAUCCAACCACCUUGUAUCCUUACAACAUGAAAAUUGCACUGACUCAGUGCAUCUGAGAGCUAAUCUUGCUGGAGCCUAUGAACUGCAAGAUGUAAAAUCACUUCUCAAAGAAUGGGUUACAACCAUUGGAGAGCCAGUAGAAGAGGACAUUCUACAGGUUGUUAAGUAUUGCACUGAUCUCAUUGAAGAAAAAGAUCUGGAAAAAUUGGACCUCGUUAUUAAGUAUAUGAAAAGGUAGUGCCAUUAAUCUUCAAUGGGCUUGCAUUUACUGAAAGCUUGCGCCAUAGUAAUGGCACAUCUACAGCGUACAUCAUUAUUAUCAUUUUGCAGAAAUUCCAGGAAAUUAUGCGCUAAUCCAACAAUCAGCAGACUCUCUGUGGAACAUGGCUUUUGACUUCAUUCUUGACAACGUUCAGGUUGUAAUGCAACAAAUCUACGGCAGCAUGUUAAAAUUUACAUGAAAAGACAUUGCUAGUGAUAUUUUUAAAAUCUGUAAAACAUUGGAGCCUGGAGCUCUCAUCUUGUGCCAUAAAACCUUUGUGAAGCUCUUAAAAUUUGCAUGGUAGAAAAGCGUUGUGUUUUUAUGAAACAUUUCUGAUAAUGAAAACAACAUUUUGUAGUUUUUUUUUCCCUCUGCAAAAAUUGUGUACCAAAUUCUCGUUGGUUGCAUGUAAAUAAUUGUGUUGUAAAAAUUAUCAUGUAUGUAGAAUACAUUGUGUUUACAAAAUUGUUGUUUAUAAGCAGUUUGUUUUUUUAGUGGUUUACUUCUAUUUAAUAAAAAAGUUUGUUGUGAAUUCAUAAAAUAUUGUACACACCCAUGUUUUUUAAUAUAAGGCACUGUAUAUUAGUAUUUCAAAUACAAGUUAUCAGAAUUAUUCAUGCAGUAUUUCUGACUAAUAGCCAUCAAUGAAAUUAGUUGUUCUUGUGCAAAUUCUGCGGCUCAGGCCUAGGGAACAUUUUGCAUAUUGGAGUGUCUAUAAUUUAACUGCCUUAGCUCACCAACCCUGCACAAAUGAAGCAAAAUUUAAUAAACAGUUACAGGUAUGAAAAAAAUUUAAAUUGAAAGAUUGCGCCUUUUUAAUAAACUCCACUCACGCC